rnacentral:rRNA from 1 species
GAUGAACGCUAGCGGCAGGCUUAAUACAUGCAAGUCGUGGGGCAGCAUGGUGUGUAGCAAUACACACUGAUGGCGACCGGCAAACGGGUGCGGAACACGUACGCAACUUACCCUCAAGUGGGUGAUAGCCCGGGGAAACCCGGAUUAAUACCUCGUAACACUAUGGUUUGGCAUCACACUUUAGUUAUAGCCCCGGCGAGUAAGGAUGGGCGUGCGUCCCAUUAGGUAGUGGGUUGGCGUAACGGCUCACCAAGCCUGCGAUGGGUAACUGGUGUGAGAGCACGACCAGUCAUACGGGCACUGAGACACGGGCCCGACUCCUACGGGAGGCAGCAGUAAGGAAUAUUGGUCAAUGGACGCAAGUCUGAACCAGCCAUGCCGCGUGGAGGAUGAAGGCCCUCUGGGUUGUAAACUUCUUUUAUGGGGGACGAAACCCUGGAUUUUUAUCCAGCCUGACGGUACCCCAGGAAUAAGCACCGGCUAACUCCGUGCCAGCCGCCGCGGUAAGAC